rnacentral:rRNA from 1 species
GACGAACGCUGGCGGCGUGCUUAACACAUGCAAGUCGAACGGAAAGGCCCUGCUUUUGUGGGGUGCUCGAGUGGCGAACGGGUGAGUAACACGUGAGUAACCUGCCCUUGACUUUGGGAUAACUUCAGGAAACUGGGGCUAAUACCGGAUAGGAGCUCCUGCUGCAUGGUGGUGGUUGGAAAGUUUCGGCGGUUGGGGAUGGACUCGCGGCUUAUCAGCUUGUUUGUGGGGUAGUGGCUUACCAAGGCUUUGACGGGUAGCCGGCCUGAGAGGGUGACCGGCCACAUUGGGACUGAGAUACGGCCCAGACUCCUACGGGAGGCAGCAGUGGGGAAUAUUGCACAAUGGGCGGAAGCCUGAUGCAGCAACGCCGCGUGCGGGAUGACGGCCUUCGGGUUGUAAACCGCUUUCGCCUGUGACGAAGCGUGAGUGACGGUAAUGGGUAAAGAAGCACCGGCUAACUACGUG